rnacentral:rRNA from 1 species
AAGGAAAAGAAAUCGUUAAGGGCGUAUGGCGGAUGCCUAGGCUUCAAGAGGCGAAGAAAGACGUGGUAAGCUGCGAAAAGCUGCGGGGAUUGGCACACACGAAAUGAUCCGCAGAUAUCUGAAUGGGGCAACCCACUAUACAAGAGUAUAGUAUUCCCGUAAGGGGAGGCAAACCUUCCGAACUGAAACAUCUAAGUAGGAAGAGGAAAAGAAAUCAACAGAGAUUCCGAGAGUAGUGGCGAGCGAAAUCGGAAGAGCCCAAAAGUAUCUAUAUAGAUAACAGAAUGUUUUGGAAAGGACAACCGCAGAGGGUGAUAGUCCCGUAAGUGAAAUCUAUAUACAUAUGAAAAAGAGUAGGGCGGGACACGAGAAAUCCUGUCUGAAUAUGGGGGGACCAUCCUCCAAGGCUAAAUACUCCUUGAAGACCGAUAGCGAACAAGUACCGUGAGGGAAAGGUGAAAAGUAUUUCGAAAAGAAAGAUGAAAGAGACCCUGAAACCAUACGCCUACAAGCGGUCGGAGCAUCAAUAAGAUGUGACGGCGUGCCUUUUGCAUAAUGAGCCUACGAGUUAAUUUCACUAGCGAGGUUAAGUAGUUCAGCUACGGAGCCGGAGCGAAAGCGAGUCUGAAAAGGGCGAGGAGUUAGUGGGAUUAGACGCGAAACCUUGUGAUCUAUCCAUGGGCAGGUUGAAGCUUUGGUAACACAAAGUGGAGGACCGAACCGGUUGACGUUGAAAAGUCUUCGGAUGACCUGUGGAUAGGGGUGAAAGGCUAAUCAAACUGGGAGAUAGCUCGUACUCCCCGAAAUGCAUUUAGGUGCAGCGUUAAGAGAAGUAUACUAGAGGUAGAGCUACUGAUUGGAUGCGGGGGUUUCACCGCCUACCAAAUCCUGACAAACUCCGAAUGCUAUUAUAUGUUUCUUAGCAGUGAGGGCAUGGGUGCUAAGGUCCAUGUCCGAGAGGGAAAGAACCCAGAGCAACAGCUAAGGUCCCGAAAUGUAUACUAAGUUGGACAAACGAGGUCAGACUGCCUGGACAGCUAGGAUGUUGGCUUGGAAGCAGCCAUUCAUUUAAAGAGUGCGUAACAGCUCACUAGUCGAGCGGUUUGGCAUGGAUAAUACUCGGGCAUAAGUAUACUACCGAAGCUAUGCGAAAUUUAAAAUUUCGGUAGGGGAGCAUUCUAUAUGCGCAGAAUCUUUAAGGUGACUUAAAGUGGAGCGUAUAGAAAAGAAAAUGUAGGCAUAAGUAACGAUAAUGAAGGUGAGAAACCUUCACGCCGAAAAUCCAAGGUUUCCUCAGCUAUGCUAAUCAGCUGAGGGUAAGUCGGGACCUAAGGUGAAUCCGAGAGGAGUAAUCGAUGGGAAAUCGGUUAAUAUUCCGAUACCGGCUGUAAAUUCGAUGGAGUGACAGAGUAAUGACACUACCGCGUACUGACGGAAUAGUACGUUAAAGCAAGUAGGUAAAUCUGGGAUAGUAAAAUGCGUUUCGGAUGCCGAAUGUGAAAGUACCAGGAAGCUACGGUGGAAUGGAUAGUGUAGGUAAGAGCUCUCAAGAAAAACUUCUAAGGUAAGUUUACAGCGCCCGUACCAAAACCGACACAGGUGGAUGAGGAGAGUAUCCUAAGGCGCUCGAGUGAAUCAUGGUUAAGGAACUAGGCAAAAUAGACCUGUAACUUCGGGAGAAAGGUCGCUCCCAAUAAAAAGGGAGCCGCAGUGAAAAGGCCCAGGCGACUGUUUAUCAAAAACACAGGACUCUGCAAAAUCGCAAGAUGAAGUAUAGGGUCUGACACCUGCCCGGUGCUGGAAGGUUAAGGAAGGAGGUAAGCGUCAAGCGAAGCCUUUGACUGAAGCCCCAGUAAACGGCGGCCGUAACUAUAACGGUCCUAAGGUAGCGAAAUUCCUUGUCGGGUAAGUUCCGACCUGCACGAAUGGUGUAACGAUCUGGGCACUGUCUCAACCAUGAGCUCGGUGAAAUUGUAGUAUCGGUGAAGAUGCCGAUUACCCGCAAUGGGACGAAAAGACCCUGUGAACCUUUACUAUAGCUUCGUAUUGACUUCGGGUAAAUGAUGUGUAGGAUAGGUGGGAAACUGUGAAUCGGCUUCGCCAGGAGUCGAGGAGUUGACGUUGAAAUACCACCCUUUAUUUAUCUGGAGCCUAACUUCUGAACAAGAAGGACAUUGCGUGGUGGGUAGUUUGACUGGGGUGGUCGCCUCCAAAAGAGUAACGGAGGCUUUCAAAGGUACCCUCAGCACGCUUGGCAACCGUGCGCAGAGUGUAAUGGCAUAAGGGUGCUUGACUGCAAGACCGACAAGUCGAGCAGGUGCGAAAGCAGGACAUAGUGAUCCGGUGGUUCCGUAUGGAAGGGCCAUCGCUCAUAGGAUAAAAGGUACUCCGGGGAUAACAGGCUAGUCUCCCCCAAGAGCUCACAUCGACGGGGAGGUUCGGCACCUCGAUGUCGGCUCGUCACAUCCUGGGGCUGGAGAAGGUCCCAAGGGUUGGGCUGUUCGCCCAUUAAAGUGGCACGCGAGCUGGGUUCAGAACGUCGUGAGACAGUUCGGUCUCUAUCUAUUGCGGGCGUAGAAUUUUGCGUGGAGUUGACUCUAGUACGAGAGGACCGAGUUGAACAAACCUCUGGUGUAUCAGUUGUGCCGCCAGGUUCACCGCUGAGUAGCUAAGUUUGGAAGAGAUAAGCACUGAAAGCAUAUAAGUGCGAAACUCGCCACAAGAUAAGAAUUCGAUAUAGGGUCGUGGGAGAUUACCACGUUGAUAGGCUACAGGUGUAAAGGCAGUGAUGUCAUAGCCGAGUAGUACUAAUUACCCGGAGAUUUCG